UUUUCAGAUUAGUGACUAAGUCUGACUAUUUAACGUUGCGAAAUGGUUUCAUAAGUGUUUAUAUGGGUCCAGGAAGUAAAUUUUACUUCCAAAAGUAUAUCCAAACGUCAUUGGAGGAUGAUUUCAAAACAGUUGUAGGAGUAAGUCAUGUCUUGUGGGCGUCAUUUGUGAUCUUCUCGCUCCUGAAUAUUAAUGAUAAUCUUGGUGGUUGGAACAGAGCUUCAAGUUAUUAUGAAAAAAAUGGCUAUGGAAAUCACCCAAAGACAUUGCAGACGGCAAAGGAGAAUUUUGAGUUAGCCCUGGAGGUUGACAAUUCAAAUAAACAAGCUAGAGGGGCUGCUUUAUUGGUUGAAGCUGCAGUAUGGGUGAUCCAGAUGCAUAAUAUGAACUAGGCUAAUAAAUAUGUUCAGUUGGGUCAUCAAACAUUCUAUUUGGAGAAGGCUAGGUACAUUUUUUUUUCCUGCAAAGUAUUGAUGACAGUAUUGAUGACUGGCUGUAGUAUUGUUGUUAGAACUUAUUCUAAGUUCUAUUUUUGGAUUUAAUCCAUUCCAGGUGUUAUAUGUUGUCUUCAUCUUUGAGCUGUCAAAUGCAUGAAGAAGCAACCAGAUUUGGUCCAAGAAGAAGUGGAUGUCCAAGAAGAAGAUUAAGUGGAUGAACCCAUUCAUUUCCAGUUCUUUACUGGUUUGUUCAAAAAUUAUUUUAUUUUGUUUGAAAUAUAUUUGAUGUUGGGAGA